CCUGAGAAACCCAAAAGUUCGAACGGAGAGAUUCAUCGUCAGCGAUCCCGGCGAUGUGCGGUUCGUGAUGCCCGGGACCUCGGUCCCGUGGCACGCGUCCGUGUCAUUUGUUUGCCGGGUUUCGUCGUCGUGCACUUCUCCCCUAGUAGGACGUCGCGACCCGUUGGGUGUCGGUCUACGACUCGGGUGGGCGCCCGUCAUGUGUCACGCCUCACGGCGUCAUGUGGCGGACCCCCGGUUGUCCGACCAGCUGCCCGGCGGUACUCGCACGGUAUUGAGUCGCAAAUUUGAACUGCGUCCGGCCCGCCGCAAGCGAGGCCAGUGUUUCCCGGAUGUACGGACUUAGCGCCGUCACCGGGCCUGGCCAGCUGUUGGCCGGCGGUGUCCUGGGACUGGCUCUAUUAUAAUACCGGUCGGCGACGCUACUGCUUUGGGUACUUUCAGGA
rnacentral:rRNA from 1 species